GGCCACGUAGCUCAGCUGGUAGAGCGUGCGCUGUACUAAAGCGUAGGCAGCGUCCAUGCAUGGGUUCAAAUCCCACCGAGGCCA
rfam:Echinostoma caproni strain Egypt genome assembly, scaffold: ECPE_scaffold0008586